rnacentral:misc_RNA from 1 species
GUUCCACAAUCUGAAUCAGGGCUGAACAAAAGAUAAAGACUACUGUAAGUUACAUAAACAAUAGAUGAAGUAUUAGACAAUGAGAGACAAAAGAAACACGCGGUAAAAGAGUUGCAGAAUUUCAACUUGAAGACUGAUGAAUUCAAAUUCAACAAGUGGUUACUAGAUGACAACACAGUCCAAUCCAUACACAGCAAAAUAUUGUAAAAGGUUUAAGGCUUUCAUACUGACCUG